AGAAUUGAAGAAGCAGAGGAGAUCUUUGACCAGAUGGAGCUCCAAGGAGUUUCUAGAAAUUCAGUGACCUACAAUACCCUUAUAGAUGGCCUUUGUAAGAGCAGGAGGGUGGAGGAUGCUGCUCAACUGAUGGACCAGAUGAUAAUGGAGGGAUUGAAGCCUGACAAAUUCACUUACAAUUCCAUGCUUACCUACUUCUGCAGGGCAGGGGAUAUAAAGAAAGCAGCAGACAUUGUGCAGACCAUGACUUCCAAUGGUUGUGAACCAGAUAUUGUCACAUAUGGGACCCUUAUUGGGGGAUUGUGCAAGGCUGGAAGGCUGGUCGACUUGAAGUAGCAAAUAAGCUCCUCAGAUCCAUUCAAAUGAAAGGCAUGGUUCUGACUCCUCAUGCUUACAACCCUGUAAUUCAAGCACUAUUUAAACGGAAAAGAACAAAGGAAGCCAUGAGACUUUUCAGAGAAAUGGAGGAAAAGGGUGGUCGUCCAGAUGCUCUCACAUACAAGAUCGUUUUCCGUGGACUGUGUAACUCUGGAGGACCAAUCGGAGAAGCGGUUGAUUUUGUGAUUGAGAUGACGGGAAAAGGAUUUUUACCAGAAUUCUCUUCAUUCUAUAUGUUGGCUGAGGGACUUUGUUCUUUAUCUAUGGAGGAGACUUUGAUUAGUCUUGUUGACAUAGUCAUGGAGAAAGCAGACAUCUCAGAAAAUGAAACAACCAUGAUAAGGGGAUUUCUCAAAAUUCGCAAGUUCCAAGAUGCA
rnacentral:misc_RNA from 1 species